UUUUUAUUUUCAUAUGUCACAUGCUGAUUAUUUAUUGUUGGAUUGGGCUUUCCAGCACCUGCUAUUCGCACCCACACACAAAGCCCAUUUCGCAUUCUUAUUUCAUGUCCAUUUCUUUUACUCUUUUUUUUAGCUGUUUUCUUUUAAUUAUUUAAAAAAUAUUUCCUUGUUUCAUAAAAAUCUAAAAAAAUAUUUUUUAACUUCCUUAGUGUAUCAUUCAAUUUAUUUUAAUUUUUUAUUUUCGUUUUAUUUUAUGUUAAUAUUUUAUUUUCAUUAUUUAGUUCAAAUAAGCCAUUUUAACACACUUUUUUUCAUUAAUUUUAU
rnacentral:lncRNA from 1 species